rnacentral:rRNA from 1 species
UACGGAGGGUGCAAGCGUUAAUCGGAAUUACUGGGCGUAAAGCGUGCGUAGGCGGGUCUUUAAGUCAGAGGUGAAAUCCUGGAGCUCAACUCCAGAACUGCCUUUGAUACUGAAGAUCUUGAGUUCGGGAGAGGUGAGUGGAACUGCGAGUGUAGAGGUGAAAUUCGUAGAUAUUCGCAAGAACACCAGUGGCGAAGGCGGCUCACUGGCCCGAUACUGACGCUGAGGCACGAAAGCGUGGGGAGCAAACAGG